CGACCUGAGCUCAGGCAAGGCUACCCACUGAACUUAAGCAUAUCACUAAGUGGAGGAAAAGAAACUAACAAGGAUGCGCUUAGUAACGGCGAGCGAACCGCGCAAAGCCCAACUUGAAAAUCUCCCUUGGAGAAUUGUAGUCUAUAGAAGUACCCUCUGCGACGGGCUGAGCUCAAGUCUCCUGGAAAGGGGCGUCAGAGAGGGUGAGAACCCCGUAAGCUCUCGCUUGGUCGCCACACGAGGUGCUUUCGC
rnacentral:rRNA from 1 species